rnacentral:tRNA from 1 species
UCGGAUAUGGUGUAAUGGCUAACAUUGCCGCCUCUCAUCUGUCCGCGGCAGCUCGGGGUUCGAUUCCCCGUAUCCGAA